rnacentral:rRNA from 1 species
GAUGAACGCUGGCGGCGUGCCUAAUACAUGCAAGUCGAGCGAACGGACGAGAAGCUUGCUUCUCUGAUGUUAGCGGCGGACGGGUGAGUAACACGUGGAUAACCUACCUAUAAGACUGGGAUAACUUCGGGAAACCGUAGCUAAUACCGGAUAAUAUUUUGAACCGCAUGGUUCAAAAGUGAAAGACGGUCUUGCUGUCACUUAUAGAUGGAUCCGCGCUGCAUUAGCUAGUUGGUAAGGUAACGGCUUACCAAGGCAACGAUGCAUAGCCGACCUGAGAGGGUGAUCGGCCACACUGGAACUGCGACACGGUCCAGACUCCUACGGGAGGCCGCAGUAGGGAAUCUUCCGCAAUGGGCGGAAGCCUGACGGAGCAACGCCGCGUGAGUGAUGAAGGUCUUCGGAUCGUAAAACUCUGUUAUUAGGGAAGAACAUAUGUGUAAGUAACUGUGCAAAUCUUGACGGUACCUAAUCAGAAAGCCACGGCUAACUACGUG